rnacentral:lncRNA from 1 species
GCCACGACACCUGGCUGACACCCUGAUAUUUUAAGACAGAAGCAGGACAGAUAUAAUUUGAUGAUAAUGCAGUAGUUCGAAUACAGACACCAUGCUUGCAUUUCAUAUAACCUGUUCACAUUUCCUAAAGGGAUAGGAUGCAUUAGUUGGCAUGUACCACUGGUGUUACCUCUGUUGCAACCACGGUGCGACUACUGUUCCCACUCUGACCAUAUGAAUUUUCUCCAUCCUCUUCCCAUCUGCCAUCCACACCCUCCAUCUACUGGUUCUAGUUCUAACCUGGCUUCUAAUGCUGUGUGAUCCUUGGUGAAUUGCUUCACCACUCUGGGCCCCACAAGUGCAUCUAUACAGUGAGAGAAUGGGAUUCGAUCAGCAGUCCCAUACCCGAAUGCAGGGCUCAGAAACAAACAAACAUAAAAAUAAGACUGAUACACUUCGUUUACAUAUUAAAUACUAACUAAAAUAUUCU